GUCGAACGGUAGCACAGAGGAGCUUGCUCCUUGGGUGACGAGUGGCGGACGGGUGAGUAAUGUCUGGGAAACUGCCCGAUGGAGGGGGAUAACUACUGGAAACGGUAGCUAAUACCGCAUAACGUCGCAAGACCAAAGAGGGGGACCUUCGGGCCUCUUGCCAUCGGAUGUGCCCAGAUGGGAUUAGCUGGUAGGUGGGGUAACGGCUCACCUAGGCGACGAUCCCUAGCUGGUCUGAGAGGAUGACCAGCCACACUGGAACUGAGACACGGUCCAGACUCCUACGGGAGGCAGCAGUGGGGAAUAUUGCACAAUGGGCGCAAGCCUGAUGCAGCCAUGCCGCGUGUAUGAAGAAGGCCUUCGGGUUGUAAAGUACUUUCAGCGAGGAGGAAGGUGUUGUGGUUAAUAACCGCAGCAAUUGACGUUACUCGCAGAAGAAGCACCGGCUAACUCCGUGCCAGCAGCCGCGGUAAUACGGAGGGUGCAAGCGUUAAUCGGAAUUACUGGGCGUAAAGCGCACGCAGGCGGUCUGUCAAGUCGGAUGUGAAAUCCCCGGGCUCAACCUGGGAACUGCAUCCGAAACUGGCAGGCUAGAGUCUUGUAGAGGGGGGUAGAAUUCCAGGUGUAGCGGUGAAAUGCGUAGAGAUCUGGAGGAAUACCGGUGGCGAAGGCGGCCCCCUGGACAAAGACUGACGCUCAGGUGCGAAAGCGUGGGGAGCAAACAGGGAUUAGAUACCCUGGUAGUCCACGCCGUAAACGAUGUCGACUUGGACGUUGUGCCCUUGAGGCGUGGCUUCCGGAGCUAACGCGUUUAAGUCGACCGCCUGGGGGAGUACGGCCGCAAGGUUAAAACUCAAAUGAAUUGACGGGGGCCCGCACAAGCGGUGGAGCAUGUGUUUAAUUCGAUGCAACGCGAAGAACCUUACCUACUCUUGACAUCCAGAGAACUUGGCAGUAGAUGCCCUGGUGCCUUCGCGAACUGUGAGACAGGUGCUGCAUGGCUGUCGUCAGCUCGUGUUGUGGAAUGUUGGGUUAAGUCCCGCAACGAGCGCAACCCUUAUCCUUUGU
rnacentral:rRNA from 1 species